AUUCGGCCACCUGCUUCGACAGAGAUGAAGAGCUUAACACACAAAGAAAGAAAGAAACAAAGUACACGCAAGGCAUCUGUUCUCCCCGAAGAAUUCUGGAUCUCUUCCUUUCCCAGGACUCUGGCCAGAAAGGAGCCCCUUGAACCUGAAGGAGGUGAACGGAGGAUGCCUAUGAACACCCACUGCAGGUCACUUCUCCCGCCCCCACUGUACCCGGGUUUCCUGUGUUCUGGGGUCAUUUGCUACAGCUGAGCAGCUGCAGUGCAUGUUUCCACAAGCUGUCCCACCAGAGAUUUCCGGGUCUUUCUGGAAAGGGCCUCACCCCACUCCUGCAAAACAUCUGCCUUGCUGCCACUGGCUUAAGGAUUCCUUUCCCCUGCAUUCCUGUUGGUGAAUGGACUCUCCGGCCUCACGAGAAACCCCAGCCAUCCUCAACGGCCCGCUCCACUUUUGUCCCCUGCCUCGAGGCAGCCCAUCUCCACCACCUGUGUCAUUUGGAGCUGUGCGCAUCUGCCACCUCUGUUCCAGCACGACUGGGGCAGCCUCCCGCCACGGACGGCCAGCCCCCUGGGUCUCACCAGCCUCU